rnacentral:lncRNA from 1 species
CUCAACUCAACUCAACCUGACUGACUUCUUUCAAUAUAAGGCAAUUUAAAACAAGUGCGAUAUAAAGAAAGACUGUUUAAAACAUGCUAUAAACUCUGUGUGUAUACAAGGAUACAAUAAGCCUGAGAUGUAUAUAGAAAUACAAUUGAACUGAUGUAUAUAAAAUACAAUACUUUCUGUGUAUGAAAAUACAAUAACUGCUGUGGGAGUUUCU